rnacentral:rRNA from 1 species
GAUGAACGCUAGCGGCAGGCCUAAUACAUGCAAGUCGAGGGGCAGCGGGGUAGCAAUACUGCCGGCGACCGGCGCACGGGUGCGUAACACGUAUGCAACCUACCUUAAACUGGGGGAGUAGCCCGGGGAAACUCGGAUUAAUACCCCAUAAUACAUUUGGAACACAUGUUUUGAUUGUUAAAGAUUUAUCGGUUUAAGAUGGGCGAUGCGUUCGAUUAGCUAGUUGGCGGGGUAA